GGCUCGGUAGCUCAGUUGGUAGAGCAAUGGAUUGAAGCUGCUCCAUGUGUCGGCGGUUCGAUUCCGUCUCGCGCCA
rnacentral:tRNA from 1 species